GAAACUAACAAGGAUUCCCCUAGUAACUGCGAGUGAAGCGGGAAAAGCUCAAAUUUAAAAUCUGGUGGUCUUUGGCCAUCCGAGUUGUAAUCUAGAGAAGCAUUAUCCGUGCUGGACCGUGUAUAAGUCUCCUGGAAUGGAGCGUCAUAGAGGGUGAGAAUCCCGUCUUUGACACGGAUUACCAGUGCAUUGUGAUACGCUCUCAAAGAGUCGAGUUGUUUGGGAAUGCAGCUCUAAAUGGGUGGUAAGUUCCAUCUAAAGCUAAAUAUUGGCGAGAGACCGAUAGCGAACAAGUACCGUGAGGGAAAGAUGAAAAGAACUUUGGAAAGAGAGUUAAACAGUACGUGAAAUUGUUGAAAGGGAAACGCUUAAAGUCAGUCGCAUCGGCUAGGGAUCAACCUUGCUUCUGCUUGGUGCACUUCCUGGUUGAUGGGUCAGCAUCAAUUUUGACCAGUGGAAAAAGUUCAAGGGAAUGUGGCAUCUCCGGAUGUGUUAUAGCCUUUGUUCGCAUACAUUGGUUGGGAUUGAGGAAUUCAGCACGCCGCAAGGCCGGGUUUUCAACCACGUUCGUGCUUAGGAUGCUGGCAUAAUGGCUUUAAUCGACCCGUCUU
rnacentral:rRNA from 1 species